rnacentral:rRNA from 1 species
GACGAACGCUGGCGGCGUGCUUAACACAUGCAAGUCGAACGGAAAGGCCCUGCUUUUGUGGGGUGCUCGAGUGGCGAACGGGUGAGUAACACGUGAGUAACCUGCCCUUGACUUUGGGAUAACUUCAGGAAACUGGGGCUCAUACCGGAUAGGAUCUCCUGCUGCAUGGUGGGGGUUGGAAAGUUUCGGCGGUUGGGGAUGGACUCGCGGCUUAUCAGCUUGUUGGUGGGGUAGUGGCUUAACAAGGCUUUGACGGGUAGCCGGCCUGGGAGGGGUACCGGCCACAUUGGGACUGAGAGACGGCCCAGAAGCCUACGGGAGGCAGCAGUGGGGAAUAUUGCACAAUGGGCGGAAGCCUGAUGCAGCAACGCCGCGUGCGGGAUGACGGCCUUCGGGUUGUAAACCGCUUUCGCCGGUGACGAAGAGUGAGUGACGGUAAUGGGUAAAGAAGCACCGGCUAACUACGUG